AUGGGCAAUGUGGAGCCGAGGCUGGCCGUGCUGGACACUUCGCCAUUUGAACAUUCCUGGGCUCCGAUGCCUCAGCAGAUCCCGAUGUCGGAGCGGCCCCGGACCUGCAGAACGGUGAGAACUCCCUGGGUUCCAGUGGGAUUGGGGGUUGUGCACUGGGACACUCAAAAUCCAGCUCGUUUUUACCUCGUGGCCACCCCUGCUCGGUGGCAUUAUCCCCCUCCUUGUCCCCACCUCCCUGUGCAGCAGGAGCACUCGGCACAGCCAAGCCGGAUGUUUAUCCCACAGAACAGCCGGGAGAUCUCCAGCCUGGUGUCACCACCCCAGAAUGAGCAAGAAGUGCCUCAGGUGGGGCUGUGAUAUGCAGCUCUGGGGUGCUGAGCUCAAGGACUUGCUCAGGGUUGGUGGCAGGCAGCAGUGGGACCCAGCUUUGGACACUGCAGGGACCCCAGCCUUUGCCCCAGCAGAGACCACAAGCCAUGGCCGUGCCAGGAUCCACGUGCAGCAUCAGUUUGAGGGGCAGUGGUUUGGGGUUUGGAUGGAUUUCCUGGGAUUUGGGAGUCCAUCAGCUGGGAGAGGGGCUCUGCAGGCUUUGCCCUUGCUCUGCCAUCCAGAUGCUGGACAAGGAGUGAAGCCACACGGCCCCACUGUCCCCUUUCCCUUCCACCAUGGAGAUUUCUGACUUUUGGCAUCCUUGUGGGGCUGCACACGGGGAAGGAGCUGCUCUCCUGGUCCCCCGGCCCCAGCUGAUGCCCCGAAGCUGCAGAUCUGGGGACUGACGCCAGCGUGUCUCGCUCCAAAUGUCACCGCUGCCGCAGCCUCCAGCCUGGGGGAGUUUUGGGGGUGGCCCAGCUGGAUCCCCCCGGGCUCUGCUGGGCCCCUCUGGAAUCUGGGCAGCGAGGCCAGGAGGGAUCUGUGCUCCACAGGGCUGGGGUGAAUCCCCCUGUCCCCUUCCCCGGGAUCAUUUCAGGGGUUGGUCCCGCUCCCGCCUGGCACGACAGGGAUGGAUUGGGAUGUCAUUCCACCCCUGUGAUGGCAUUUUGCUCUCGCUGCUGCCAUGAUCAUAACUGGGAUGGCAAUAAAAUCCCCGAUGCAGCAGCAGCUGUGGACAGGUCUUCAAAAACGUGCUCAGCCUGGGACUGAUGCUGAGCAGAGCUGGGAGGGGGAGGGAAAGCUGUCACUCCGUGCUCCUCCUGGCUGGAAUUCCCACUCCGAGCGGGGUUUCCAGCAGAUCGGGGUCUCCACCUCCGCCCCUUUCCCCCCUGCCCCCGCAGAGCUCCGAGCUGCUUUCCUGCGGAGCUGAGUGAUCCUGCUGGGACCGGGCUGUGCUCCAGCCACAGCUGCCUGUCCCUGCUGGCCUCAGAGCAGGCAGCUGUCCAUCAGUCUGGCCUGUCAGUCUGUUCCUCUGCUCACAUGUCCAGCAGUCCAGUCGAAUUAAAGCCUCUGGAAUGAUGGAUCACCCCGCCAAGCUGCAGAGAUGGGCUGGCAGCAGCCAGGACUCCAGGCUCCCUCUCCAGAGGGAAGCUGGGCUCCCUGGGCACCCCCUGCCAUGGGUGAAGGCUCCCUUGGGGCUGAGGCCUCGGGAACAGGGUCCUUCCUGAGGGUCAGGGCUGGAAAGAGCCAUUGUUUUAUCCAGAAGCUCGGAGGGGUGGCUGCGACUGCCCUGGCUGAUGUCAGCACAGUUCAGGUGAGGGAUUAGGAGGAGAUUUUGCCAUCAGAGAGAGGUCCAGCACUGGCAGCCAGUGACAGCGAUCAGGGUGUGAUUUAUGUGCCAGCCCCCCGAGGGGCUCAGGCCAGCGUCACUGUAGUGCUGAGCUUAAUGAACGAGCUGAUCUAACGAGGGCUGGCACGGCUGGGCCGGCUGGACAAAUGAGGUCGUGUGCUGGGGCAAAGCCCGUGGGAGGCAGCUGGCACUGAAAUCACCGUGAAAUCACCGUCCAGCAGCAGGGCAGGGCUCUGCUGGGCGCUGCUGGCCACACUGGGACCAGUGCUGGCACCGGGGGGGCGGCUGCACGUCAGCAUCGCCAGCGCUCCGCACGCCCCCGAGCAGCGUCAUCCAUCAGCGCUCCGGAAGGUGCCUAAUUACAGCCUCUGCCUUCCUGUUCCAGUUAAUCAUCACCCUGCCCUGGCACCUCGUUUGGUACGGAGCUGCUGGCUUGGAGCUGCUGGCUUGGAGCUGCCGGGCUUGGAGCAGCGAAGGUGCAGGGUCCCCUCCUGUGACGAGGUCUCACGUCCUCCGUGCUGCUCCUGUGGGUGAUGUGUCCCAGCCCCAGAGGUGUCCCAGCCCCAGAGGUGUCCCCACCACGGCCCCAGUGCUGUGCCUGGGGAUGUCCUCCUGGCCAGGUCUGGCACUUUGCCGCUGUCCUCUCCCAAGUGGCUUUGGCAGCACUUCUCCCGCUGCUCUCGGGUUUGCUCGUGGGGCACUCCCAGGCCGUGGUUGGUGCGGAGGGUGAGGGAUGAGCUCAGGAGCGGGAGGCAGCUGCAGGGGAAGGAGC
rnacentral:lncRNA from 13 species